CCUGUGCAUCGCUCCACCGCCUUUUCCGCUUGCGGAAGGGGAGGAAAGUCCGGGCAGCGUAGGGCACCGUGCUUCCUAACGGGAAGGAACAUCACUGGAGACGGUGGUGUUACAGAAAGUGCCGCAGAAAGGGAAACCGCCGAUCCAUCGCAAGGUGGAGGCAAGGGUGAAAAGGUGGUGUAAGAGACCACCAGCAUUGCUGGCGACAGCAGUGGCUUGGUAAACCUCACGGGCUGAAAGGCCAUGUAUACCGGAAGAACGCCGAAAGGCGUACGUGGAUCGUCCGUCCUUGUGGCGCAAGCCGCAUUCCGGAGGGUAGGCCGAUAGAGGCGAAGAGUGAUCUUCGUCCCAGAUAGAUGGUGGAGGUUCCGCUGAAAAGUGGAAUACAAAACCCGGCUUAUAGAUGCACAGGAGUU
rnacentral:RNase_P_RNA from 1 species